GUCCUACGGGAGGCAGCAGUGGGGAAUAUUGCACAAUGGGCGAAAGCCUGAUGCAGCGACGCCGCGUGAAGGAUGAAGUAUUUCGGUAUGUAAACUUCUAUCAGCAGGGAAGAAAAUGACGGUACCUGACUAAGAAGCCCCGGCUAACUACGUGCCAGCAGCCGCGGUAAUACGUAGGGGGCAAGCGUUAUCCGGAUUUACUGGGUGUAAAGGGAGCGUAGACGGCGAUGCAAGCCAGAUGUGAAAGCCCGGGGCUCAACCCCGGGACUGCAUU
rnacentral:rRNA from 1 species